rnacentral:misc_RNA from 1 species
CUUGUGAUAACUCAGGGUGCAGUGCUUCCCCUGCCCCCCAACUCUGUCCGGGAGGAAACCGAGUAGACCCCCACACUACCUCUAUCGCUGGAAAGUACCUAACCCCUUCUGGUCGUUCCAGUGCCAAGUAGCGGUGAUUUCAGAAAGUCAUGGCGAUGCAUCGCUACUGAUGUCGAAGGUCAGGACCUGGACGACAUUGCGUCGGAGCAACCCGCGACAGUGAGCCCGCUUGCACCAUACACAGGGAAAAGUGUCACAGUGACUCGAGCGAAUCCCCUACCUCUGGCUCUCACACUGCUCACUGGUGUGGGGAGCCGGAGUGCUACCCCGAGACGGAUGCACCAGGUGGCGAUUGGCAUAAUUUGAGCUGCUGUGUUUUGGCUUUCGAGCCAGAGGCUGUGCUGCGAUGACUGGGUCGGUGGCCUUCCUGUAACACGUGCGUUCAUGGCUGCUUCGCGCCACGCGCUGCUGAGCCUGUGAGAGACCCCAGUAGAGCGGAGUGCAGCUCAUGCUCUGUGGUAGAAAAUGGACACACGUUGAAAACCAAGAAAAAACCAGCGAAUCCCUUUUCUGUUGAAUGCGCACCUAUGCGUUUGCUGUAGGCCUCAUGCACGUGUACGUGGGUGCCUGCGAAUGUGUCUGUGACGGCGCUCUAGAUUUGGGCAGAGACUUUGUGGGGCUCGCCCUCCCCCUUUUCUGAUCACCGCGUCCAUAUCAACCUUCUCAAUCUCCCUCUGCGGCCAUCAUUUUCAAGCUGCUGCUUGGGCUGCGUGCGGCGAAGGGAGCAAGCACGACACAUACGUGCACAUGCACAGACGCACCUCCCUCCCCCUCGUCGUGCUUGCGUUCUCAAACGCUCUUCUCUCUCUUUUUUUUUGCAUUUUCAAACAUGUUAUCGUGAACUAAUCACCUCCCCCCUCCACAAGCACACGCGCACGCGCACACACACGCGUCCGAUCCUCCCUCGCGUGUGUGUGCGCGUGCGCGUGUGCUUGUGGCUUUUACUUACCUCUCUCUCCCGCUUCGUUAUUUCGUUUUUCCUUUGGUGGAUGUGUGUGCGCGCGCGUGCUCGUUGUGGUCUUUGUCUACAUCCAUGUGUGAGGAUGGCGGUGAGGCGAUGCUUCGGGGUUGUCAUGACCCUCCUCAUUCCUCCUCUUCCUCCUCCUCCAUGCGGGGAGGGCUGGGAGCAUUCUUAGCGGAGGGUGUGGCCUGUGGCUGAGAGGCGCGAUGCUCAUGCUGUGGUGCGUGAUCGUAUGGGACGCACAUAUGCCUGUGUGCAUGUCCCUGCGUGUGUGUGUGCGUUACAUUGAAGGGGCGAGAAAUAAACGCACAGCGAAGCGAUAACGCGAAGCGGUGCGACGUGGGCGUGUAGGUGUGUCGGUGCGUGGCGCACCCGUCUCUGUGUGGGCGCUCAGGACGUGUGCGACUUUCUGGGUGUGGAGGGAGGGAAGGGGGGGGCGUGGUGGAUUGAAGGCAUGCAUAUUGAGGAUGGGGGAGAUGUACGGCGACGCGUCGAUCUGUGCGCUCGUGGGCAACAAACGGUGCCCUGUCGUGAUCUUCGCCUUCGCUCCGACUCUUUCUCUUCCGCAUCCUCCAGUCGCGUUGCCUUUGCCCUUUCCCAGACCCCACCCCACUCCCUGCUCAGGCAAUGUGCGCGCACGAGUAUGCGGUCUGGCGUGCGUCUCGGGGUCUCUGCGUCUGUCCUUGCUCUGCAGAGGCAACCUCAUCGCCCUCCUCGAACUUCUCACCGUCGCUAUCUUGUCCAUCGCACUCUCCAUCGAAUUGCCGCACACUUCUCUUGUGCACGUGCGGCUCCCACCCUUUCCAAAG